AUGGACCCUCCCAACCGCAUUCCUCCUCAGCGCUUCGACAUGCGACUCCACGGCAUUGACAGUGGCCGUGCCACGGGGGUCCAACUGCUCGGGUGCCGCCACGGUCGCCUCUUCAUCUUGCCCUGGCAGCGGGCAGAGCUUAUUGUAAUUGCUCCCAUCACCGGCAAGAAGCUCUGCCUGGCCGUUCCGUCCAAGUUCAAGGGGGACUGCUACCUUGAUGGGGCGGUGCUCUGCGCCGCUGCUGACCAUGGCCACGUGCAUGGAAACUGCCACUCAAGCCCAUUCAAGGUGGUCUUGCUGUCGACAAGCACCUACCAUAGUGGUCCACAGCCCGCCUUUGCAUGUGUUUACUCCUCGAAGACUGGCACUGGCAUAUGGAGCGAUCUCAUCUCAACGCCGACUCCAUAUCAGCUUCAUGGCGCUUAUAUUCAUGGGUCACUUAUUGGUAACUCACUUUACUGGAUGUGCGGGCAAGGAAGGUACAUAUUUGAGUUUGGUUUGGAUGGUCAGAGCCUAGCUUUGAUCACAGCGGCUCCCAGAAUAAAUGAUGGCCGCCACAACUAUGACCAACGUGAGAUCAUCCAGAUGGUGGAUGGUGUUGUUGGUCUUGCCAUAUUGUCUCCCUGUUACCGUAGCAUUCAAAUGUGGCGGUGGAAGGUCAAUUGUCAUGGUGAUACCAAAUGGGUGCUGUGCAAGUCCAUUGAAAUGAAUAGCAUUAAUGGGAUGCCUCCUGGGGUUAAAGGAGAGAUCCCAAAGUUGGUAUUUAGACUGAGAUAUGCUGAGGAUACUGGUGAUAUAUUUAUAUAUGCGGGCUGGAGUGUCUAUAUGGUUCAACUCAAGUCGAUGAAAUCUUGGAAACUUUGUGAAACCCUAUAUGUUACUCGUCAUCAUCCUUUCAAGAGUUUCUAUAUGCCAGGUGAUUGUCUUCGUUAUUCCUCAUAUUGUAUGAGUAACCUAGUCUUGUUCUGUUUUGUAUUUGAAUGCUCAAAUACCUUCGCUAGAUAA
rnacentral:rRNA from 1 species